rnacentral:rRNA from 1 species
GCCAUGCCGCGUGCGGGAAGAAGGCCUUCGGGUUGUAAACCGCUUUUGUCAGGGAAGAAAAGGUUCUGGUUAAUACCUGGGACUCAUGACGGUACCUGAAGAAUAAGCACCGGCUAACUACGUGCCAGCAGCCGCGGUAAUACGUAGGGUGCAAGCGUUAAUCGGAAUUACUGGGCGUAAAGCGUGCGCAGGCGGUUAUGCAAGACAGAUGUGAAAUCCCCGGGCUCAACCUGGGAACUGCAUUUGUGACUGCAUAGCUAGAGUACGGUAGAGGGGGAUGGAAUUCCGCGUGUAGCAGUGAAAUGCGUAGAUAUGCGGAGGAACACCGAUGGCGAAGGCAAUCCCCUGGACCUGUACUGACGCUCAUGCACGAAAGCGUGGGGAGCAAACAGGAUUAGAUACCCUGGUAGUCCACGCCCUAAACGAUGUCAACUGGUUGUUGGGAGGGUUUCUUCUCAGUAACGUAGCUAACGC